AAUUUCAGCUUUGGGUGCUGACGGUGGGG
rnacentral:piRNA from 1 species